GUGACGUAUCGGAUUAUUGGGCGUAAGAGCUCGUAGGCGGUUUGUCGCGUCUGCCGUGAAAGUCCGGGGCUCAACUCCGGAUCUGCGGUGGGUACGGGCAGACUAGAGUGAUGUAGGGGAGACUGGAAUUCCUGGUGUAGCGGUGAAAUGCGCAGAUAUCAGGAGGAACACCGGUGGCGAAGGCAGGUCUCUGGGCAUUAACUGACGCUGAGGAGCGAAAGCAUGGGGAGCGAACAGGAUUAGAUACCCUGGUAGUCCAUGCCGUAAACGUUGGGCACUAGGUGUGGGGGACAUUCCACGUUUUCCGCGCCGUUGCUAACGCAUUAAGUGCCCCGCCUGGGGAGUACGGCCGCAAGGCUAAAACUCAAAGGAAUUGACGGGGGCCCGCACAAGCGGCGGAGCAUGCGGAUUAAUUCGAUGCAACGCGAAGAACCUUACCAAGGCUUGACAUGAACCGGUAAGACCUGGAAACAGGUCCCCCACUUGUGGCCGGUUUACAGGUGGUGCAUGGUUGUCGUCAGCUCGUGUCGUGAGAUGUUGGGCUAAGUCCCGCAACGAGCGCAACCCUCGUUCCAUGUUGCCAGCGCGUUAUGGCGGGGACUCAUGGGAGACUGCCGGGGUCAACUCGGAGGAAGGUGGGGACGACGUCAAAUCAUCAUGCCCCUUAUGUCUUGGGCUUCACGCAUGCUACAAUGGCCGGUACAAAGGGUUGCGAUACUGUGAGGUGGAGCUAAUCCCAAAAAGCCGGUCUCAGUUCGGAUUGGGGUCUGCAACUCGACCCCAUGAAGUCGGAGUCGCUAGUAAUCGCAGAUCAGCAACGCUGCGGUGAAUACGUUCCCGGGCCUUGUACACACCGCCCGUCAAGUCACGAAAGUUGGUAACACCCGAAGCCGGUGGCCUAACCCCUUGUGGGAGGGAGCUGUCGAAAGUGGGACUGGCGAUUGGGACUAAGUCGUAACAAGGUAACCAAGACU
rnacentral:rRNA from 1 species